rnacentral:lncRNA from 1 species
GCGCAUUCUGGUGAAGCGCGAUGAGCUGACCCUGGAGGGUAUCAAGCAGUUCUACGUGAACGUGGACAAGGAGGAGUGGAAGCUGGACACGCUGUGCGACCUGUACGAGACGCUGGCCAUCACCCAGUCCGUCAUCUUCGCCAACACCCGCCGCAAGGUGUGGGCGGGGACGCGCGGGGGGGGGGGGCGCCUGGGGAUGCGCGAUGGGGACCAACCAGCUUCAUUUGGCACAGCCGGCAAACUUCUGAGGGCAGGGCGGCCCGGCUAACGUGUUUGUGGGAACGGUUGCCUAGCACCCUGUUGUGUUGCUAACGAAUUAUGCCCAUGCUGCCGAUGCAAUCCGCAGGUGGACUGGCUGACGGACAAGAUGCGCGAGCGCGACCACACCGUGUCCGCCACCCACGGCGACAUGGACCAGAACACGCGCGAUGUGAUCAUGCGCGAGUUCCGCUCCGGCUCGUCGCGUGUGCUGAUCACCACCGACCUGCUGGCCCGCGGCAUUGACGUGCAGCAGGUGUCGCUGGUCAUCAACUACGACCUGCCCACCCAGCCCGAGAACUACCUGCACCGCAUUGGUCGCUCGGGCCGCUUCGGACGCAAGGGUGUUGCCAUCAACUUCGUGACCAAGGUAAGCGGCUGGGCAAGGAGGUCAAUGAAAGGCGAUGUUCGGAACUCUUGCUGGAGCCGAAUAUGGAUUGGGAAAGGGUGCUUGGCCGGCGCGUGUCAGCGCUGAAGCAUUGAUGACGCGAUGAUGAGAGUGGCAGUAAGGCGUGCUGCUGUGGAACGCGGGACCUGGCACCUGCUGACUCUCAACCAUAUCCUUGUGCCUUUGCAGGACGACGAGCGCAUGCUCCAGGACAUCCAGCGGUUCUACAACACCGUGAUUGAGGAGCUGCCCUCGAACGUCGCUGACCUCAUCUAAGCGCUCUACUACCACCAAAUGUGCGCUAGCCCCUGGGUCCAGCCGAUCCCAAGCACGGGGCGAAGCCUGCAGGAUGUGAAGGGCACGGGGCAGGGCGCGCCGCCACGCAGCCGCCCCGUGACCCGACAACGUGCUGUACGUGCUGCGCUGCGAGUCCUUUUGAACACGGGCCGUCGUUGCGGGUGGUAAACGUGAACCUGUGUUGAGGCGGGUCGGCGCAGCUUCGGUUGCAGCCAUUUGAGAGAGAAGGAAGUUUGCCGGUUUGCAAACGGCAGGAGUUUUGUCGCGAC